rnacentral:lncRNA from 1 species
UUAGGAGUAGCAUAUCUUUCAUAUUUUUAUGCUUGCUAUUUCAUCUAAUUUUUUUUAUAACUUCUACUAUUUAUUUUACUUUUAAUAUUUUUAUGGGAUUAAUUUAAUUUAAUUGUUAAUUAGUUGUUAGAUUUUAAAUGUUUAGUUUUUUUUUUUAGAUUUUCUUAAUUAUUGAUUUUUUUUAUAUGGGAUUUGGUACGGUUAAUUGAUUUCCAUGUGUUAAUUAAUUUAAUUAGGUUAUUAAUAUCUAGGUUCAUACCUUUACACAUGUAAAUAACCAUAUUCAAAUUCACUAAUAUUUUCGAUUUAAAUUUCACUAACUUUCCAUAGUUUCGACAUUUAACUUCAUUUCCUCCCAUUAGAGAAUUUAGCAUUCUGGUGGGAACU